GGAGAGAUGGCAGAGUGGUCGAAUGCGUCGGACUCGAAAUCCGAUAUACGUUUCUGACGUAUCGAGGGUUCGAAUCCCUCUCUCUCCUCCA
rnacentral:tRNA from 2 species